rnacentral:lncRNA from 1 species
GCAACAAUGGGAACCCAUCAUCUCUGAUGCUUUUCCCUCAAUGAUUCCCUUCUGGAUCCGAAUCAAAGGACUCCCAUUCCACUACUCACAUGAAAGGAUGCUCCGUAGCAUAUGCCAAGACCUGGGAAGCAUGGAAAAUCAUGAAAUCUCAAAAACACAAGCAAGGGCCAGGGUGUUGAUAAAUGGUCUCAAACCACUUACCAAGGAAACUAUCAUAGAGUUUAAGUCGGGUGAAGAAACAAAUAUUACUUUGGAAUACGAACGCUUGGAGAACCACUGCUCCCACUGUCUACUUCUCUCCCACCAGAAAACACACUGCCCGUUUCUCCCUGCAAAGGAUGAGCAAGCUACUCAAAAGGCUUCCUUGACAAAACCAAGCUUGGACUACAAGGAAACAGGGAAUGUAACUCCUUACUGUGAGGAAGCCAGAUCCGUCUUCAACAGCGACGAUGAGCCAGGGAACGGGGAGGAGUUCCAUCAGAGGGUAGAAAGACACGGUAGUAAGUUUGGUCUGCGGGUGAGUACAAAACAGACUAGCUAGGAAACCCCCUCCGGUGGGUAAAGCCCAGACGAUAGACGGCUACCAGGGAAGAAGCAACCACACCUCAAGGAACACAAGUUAUGACUCACCCCCUAUGUGCACUCUAGGAAGGUCCAACCAAGCCUCUCUUGCAACGUAAAACCUCUUUUCCUGGAAAGAGAUACUUGGCAGUGGAGGAAGAAACCCAUUGAGUCUGUUCCAAGGCAACUCACCAGCAACGAUCACGCUAUGUCAAAGGAAAAUCACGGGACACAUACCCAACUUAGUGCACAAACAAAAAUGAAAGUACCUUCAACAAAAGAAGUCUUGCAAGAUUUAGAGGAAGCUACAACACAAUACCUUAGCUGCCCAGAUCCCAUGGAAGCAGCAUCACGAAAGCUAUGAGUACAAGCAGGAGAAGCAAGAGGUCUCAAUGAAGAGACAACUAGACCUAUAAUAGCUGCAGCAACGAAUCCACCACUGAUCUUAAGCGAUACUCCGGAGAGCAGUAACAAAAUUCUGAACACUCCUCCUCCUAUGAACACAUUGACGUGCUUCUAGCACGAAGAGACUGCUGACCCCUAUCUGAACCUGCCACGCAAAGAAACCAAGAUAAAAGCCUCUACUACACGGGAAGAAAUUCUGGGAGAUAUACACGAAGCGACCCUACAAUACCUUAGUUGUGCUGACCCAACAGAACAAGAAGCAAGACGCCAUCGUGUGACUCAAAGCGAAGCUAGAGGACUGGUUGAGGAGACCAUUGCUAGUAUUAUGGCAAAUUCAACAGCGGAGGGUUCCUCACACCAGGAUAAAUUAUUGGUAGCUAACGAAGAACAACCAACCAUCGUCGCCCCCUCUCCUGCUUCCAACGAAGAUGAGAACAUGGUCACUGUCCAAAUAAAACAACCUAGCAUACAAAUAAAACAACCUAGCAGGAAGAGAGGUAGAUCAGCAAGACUUAGUGCCUAUGUUACUAGCCAAAGGACUUUAACAGGAGCAAACUCAAGAAAGAGAAACAUAUCUAGUAAACCUACCUCUCCAGCAAGAUCUCAAGGUCAGAAAAGAGCAUUCAAGGCAGGAAAUAGCAGGAGCUCAAAAACUGCCUCAUCUACAGCACCACCAAGAGCGGUGAUUGUACCAGCGAUCUCAGAAAAGAGAAAGGAUUUUCACGACCCUCUGCCUCAGGGUCCUUAGCUGUAGCGAGCUGAAACUGUAGUGGGAUUGGGAACCCCAUGACAGUCCAGCAUUUAAGAGAGAUUCACCGAGUGAACUCUCCAAAUGUGGUGUUCCUGAUGGAAACAAAAACCAAGAAUCAGUGGUACUAAAAGAGCUAGAGUUCCUACAGAUGGAUCGCUACUGCAUAGUACCUCCACAGUCCCCUGGAGGAGGCAGGCUUUACCUAGGCUGGAAGAAUGAAGUGGACAUUACGAUCCUAUCAAAAUCAAACAACUUCAUCGACACCAAUAUCAUCUUCAAAGGCGUCUCCUUUCACUCCACCUUUCGUAUAUGGUGAACCUAAUCACACAAAAAGACAAGAAACAUGGAAUCAGAUUUAAGCCCUGUCAAACUCCCCGUCAGUCCCAUGGUUUCUCAUAGGAGAUUUUAAUGAAAUCAUAGACAAUAGUGAGAAAUCAGGAGUAAUUGUUAGAGCAGAAAGAACUUUCUGUUUGAUAUCAAGCAUUCCGGGAAUUUUCUUUCUUGGAGAGGCAAAAGAGGAAAUCACCUGGUUCAUUGCAGGCUUGACAGAGCUAUUGGAAACAAUGAGUGGUCAGAGAUCUUCCCAUCCUGUCACUGCAAUUAUAUGAAGUUUGCAGGUUCUGAUCAUAGACCCCUAAUAUCGAUCUUGGACCCUACAAAGAAGAAAGGUAACAGAAUCUUCAGAUUCGACAUGCGUCUCAGAGAUAAUGAGGAGGUGAAACAGAUAGUUUCAAACAUCUGGAAACAAUUCAAUCACCAAACAGUAGAGGCGCGUUAUAGGAGCAUAUUGGCAAGUUAUAGGAGAAGCAAUCACCAAGGAAGUCCAAGCUUUCUUCAGAACAGGGCACCUGCCAGUUUCAAUAAAUACAACAUACGCCAGGUUAAUCUCGAAAGUUAACGGAGCAAAAACAGUAGCAGAGUAUCGGCCUAUUGCCAUUUGCAAUGUCUUUUACAAGAUCCUCUCAAAACUCCUCUCACUACGCCUAAAACCAGUACUAGAGAACAUCAUAUCGGAGAACCAAUCGGCUUUUAUCCCAGGGAGAGCUAUCUAUGACAAUGUGUUGAUUACACAUGAGACUCUACACUAUCUAAAGAUAUCACAAGCCACAAAGAAGUGCUUUAUGGCCGUCAAGACCGACAUGAGUAAGGCGUAUGACAGAGUUGAGUAGAACUUUGUACUAAUGGUGCUACAACGGCUGGGUUUUCACCCUAAGUGGUCUAACUGGCUAAUGCAAUGUAUACAGUCUGUCUCAUAUUCAUUCCUAGUUAAUGACACAGUCGACAGGUGUGUGAAACCAUACUGUGGAAUCAGGCAGGGAGAUCCCCUAUCUCCAUACAUAUUCAUCCUUUGCGAAGAGGUUCUGUCGGGAUUGUGCAAACAAGCGGCGCAAGACGGUUCACUCCAGGGGGUCAGAGUGGCUAGAGGAAGUCCAGGGUGAACCACCUCCUGUUUGCUGACGAUACAAUGUUCUUCUACCACUCAGAUCAGACAAGCUGCGCCACCCUCCUCAGCAUACACCAAGAAUACGAGUCAGCAUCCGGACAAAAAAUAAAUGUGCAAAAGUCAUCAAUCACGUUUUCGAGUAAAACACCAAACGACAUCAAAGAAGCAGCCAAACAAAUCCUUGGAAUUCAAAGAGAGGGAGGGAAUGGGAAGUAC